GUAUCGUUAAAAAAAAGUCACCCUGGCCCCACUCCCCAAUUUCAUUCAGCGUUGCAUAGAAUUGCCGGGUCUAACGGUGCAAAACGAUGGAACCUGAGAAGGCAAGGAGAAGAAUCUGCCUCUGUGGGAGAACUGAGCAGCCGUAGGCCUUCCUGACCAGACGCCUCCAUUUUUCACCUCUUUGAGGUCUCUUGACCAUAUUACUGGAGGGCUGCAGCCAGACUGACCCAGCUGAGGGUUUCUGGGAGCUGGUUGACUCAGUUAAAUGCGAGGUCCCAAGUCCAAGCACCGUUUGCAACAGAAGCCUCAUGAUAACCUCAGGUGCACUUCUUGGGUCCUGUAGCGUUGCAGGUCCAGCAGAAAGCAAAGACUUUGGCCGAGCUUGGGUCACCCGGACCGUGUGAACACAAGAAUUAAAGGACUUUCCUGCUGUUUGGCCUGCCUCAGACGCGGCCUUCUUGGCUCAUCCUUCUCGUUAGAGCAGAACGGGGUUUUCGGAGAGAGCAACUGAGGCAUGGAACCAAGGGUCAGGACCAGGGAGCUGCCCCCAAGAGCACCGAGAGCACGUGGUCUGGUUUAUCGGGACAAUUCAUGGAGUGAAACAUGGCAGAAAAAGUGGAACAGAGUUGUCAUCGGGAGAGCAAGAGGUAGGCCCUUAGUCAGUGGC